AUACGUAGGUGACAAGCGUUAUCCGGAUUUACUGGGCGUAAAGGGCGUGUAGGCGGUCUUGCAAGUCAGAAGUGAAAUUCCUGAGCUCAACUCGGGCGCUGCUUCUGAAACUGCAGGACUUGAGUGCUGGAGGGGAUAGCGGAAUUCCUAGUGGAGCGGUAAAAUGCGCAGAGAUUAGGAAGAACACCGGUGGCGAAGGCGGAUAUCUGGACAGUAACUGACGCUGAGGCGCGAACGCGUGGGAAGAAAACAGGAUUAGAGACCCUGUUUGUCCACGCCGUAAACGAUGAAUACUAGGUGUAGGGGGUAUCUACUCCGUCUGUGCCGCAGUUAACACAAUAAGUAUUCCGCCUGGGGAGUUCGGCCGCAAGGUUGAAACUCAAAUGAAUUGACUGGG
rnacentral:rRNA from 1 species